rnacentral:rRNA from 1 species
UACGGGGGGGGCAAGCGUUGUUCGGAAUUACUGGGCGUAAAGGGCGCGUAGGCGGUUUGCUAAGUUGAAUGUGAAAACUCUGGGCUUAACCCAGAGCCUGCAUUCAAUACUGGCAGGCUGGAGUUCUGGAGGGGAUAGCGGAAUUCCCGGUGUAGCGGUGAAAUGCGCAGAUAUCGGGAGGAACACCAAUUGCGAAGGCAGCUCGCUGGGACGUUACUGACGCUGAGACGCGAAAGCGUGGGGAGCAAACAGG